rnacentral:tRNA from 1 species
AAAGAAAUUAAUAACGAAAAGCUUCUAACUUUUCAAAAAGCAUUAAAAGAGAAA